UUGUGUGUGUAAUUGUUGAGAAAUAGCCGGCUUUUUUUGUGCUCCUGAGUCCUGUUGCUUUUCUGAUUUCAUUUGAGUGUUUUGAUGAAUGUUUGGUCUACGUGUACUUGUAAUUAGCAGAUAUUGAACAGCUGAGCAUCAUCUCAUUGAUUAUCCAUUUCAAGUACCAGAUGAUAUGAAUUUUGAUGACAUCAACUGCAAUUUAGAGUUUGUUCCUGGAAGAAGAGAAGAGACGGCGACGGCAAUACCCGUCACGCCCAACGGACUACUCUCACGAGGCCCAACGUCACGGUACAUUUAUUAUAUUUUCACGUUCUCAGUCGAGUUCUCAGUGGCCCUGAUGAUCCUCUUGGUAAGUCUGUAUAACUCUCUCUCUCUCUCUUUUAUUUUAUUUAUUUAUUUUUUCUUUUUUAAAUAUUAUAUUAUUUUCUCUUGGUGUAGUACCAACUAAC